rnacentral:rRNA from 1 species
GCUCCCUGGGGCGGGGUCACAGGUGGUGCAUGGGUGUCGUCAGCCCUCCUUUGUGUUCUGCGCAUGAUGCGGUUACGUCCACGCAACGAUCGCAACUCCUCGUUCCGGGUGUUGUCAGUUCUCGUAGUGGUGAGGGACUCAUUGCGGAGACUGCCGGGGUCAACUCGGAGGAAGGUGAGGACGACGUCAAAUCAUCAUGCCCCUUAUGUCUUGGGCUUCACGCAUGCUACAAUGGCCGGUACAAUGGGUUGCGAUACUGUGAGGUGGAGCUAAUCCCAAAAAGCCGGUCUCAGUUCGGAUUGGGGUCUGCAACUCGACCCCAUGAAGUCGGAGUCGCUAGUAAUCGCAGAUCAGCAACGCUGCGGUGAAUACGUUCCCGGGCCUUGUACACACCGCCCGUCAAGUCACGAAAGUUGGUAACACCCGAAGCCGGGGCCUAACCCUUUGGGCGGAGCCUAUAAAGUUUUGCAGCCAUAAGUU